AUGUGUGAGAAACUUAUUCCUGCGAUCCAAGAGCGUUGGCCGGACGAAGAUCAAGGACGGACAAUCUAUAUCCAACAAGAUAAUGCCACGCCACAUAUUCUUCCCGAUGACCCGGUUUUCCGACAAGUCAUAGAACAGACUGAUUUGGAUAUUAAGUUGCUUCAACAGCCUCCAAACAGUCCCGACAUGAACAUUCUUGAUCUCUGCAUAUUCAGGUCUCUCCAGUCCCACACCGAUAGCAGAGCACCUCAAAGCAUCAGGGAACUGAUACAAGGUGUGGAGGAGGAAUAUCGAAACUACCCGGUUGAUAAGCUAGCUAGAAGCUUCGUGACGCUGCAGUCAUGCAUCCGAGAAGUAAUGAGAAACAAGGGAGCGAUAAACUACUCGAUCCCUCACAUGAACAAGGAACGCCGGCAGGCAGAAGGACGACUUCCUAUAGCUCUAUCUAUCGAUCGUGAGCUAGUUGGACAGACCAUAGCCCUUAUAGAAGAGGCAGAAGCAAUCUUAGCAGCAGAAAAAGAGCAGAAGCAGCAGGAAAAGAGCAGCAAGACAAGAGCCGCAGCAGCCUUGAAGAAGCAGAAACACCCUUCGAAUACCAGCAGCCUCCAAGCAGCAGGAAAAGAGAACCAGGAGCCUUCAAGCAGCAGGAAAAGAGUACCAGCAGUCUCCAAGAAGCAGGAAAGGAGCAGCAACAGCCUUCAAGCAGCAGGAAAAGAGCACGAGCAGCCUUCGAGCAGCAGGAAAAGAGCAGCCACCUCCUUCAAGCGGCAGAAACACCCUUCGAGUACCAAUAGCCUCCAAGCAGCAGGAAAAGAGAACCAGGAGCCUUCAAGCAGCAAUAACAGAGCACCAGCAGCCUCCAAGCAGCAGGAAAGGAGCAACUCUUCUUUACUUGGGGUCAGCUAG
rnacentral:rRNA from 1 species